rnacentral:rRNA from 1 species
UUGAACGCUGGCGGCAGGCCUAACACAUGCAAGUCGAACGGUAACAGGAAGCAGCUUGCUGCUUUGCUGACGAGUGGCGGACGGGUGAGUAAUGUCUGGGAAACUGCCUGAUGGAGGGGGAUAACUACUGGAAACGGUAGCUAAUACCGCAUAACGUCGCAAGACCAAAGAGGGGGACCUUCGGGCCUCUUGCCAUCGGAUGUGCCCAGAUGGGAUUAGCUUGUUGGUGGGGUAACGGCUCACCAAGGCGACGAUCCCUAGCUGGUCUGAGAGGAUGACCAGCCACACUGGAACUGAGACACGGUCCAGACUCCUACGGGAGGCAGCAGUGGGGAAUAUUGCACAAUGGGCGCAAGCCUGAUGCAGCCAUGCCGCGUGUAUGAAGAAGGCCUUCGGGUUGUAAAGUACUUUCAGCGGGGAGGAAGGGAGUAAAGUUAAUACCUUUACUCAUUGACGUUACCCGCAGAAGAAGCACCGGCUAACUCCGUGCCAGCAGCCGCGGUAAUACGGAGGGUGCAAGCGUUAAUCGGAAUUACUGGGCGUAAAGCGCACGCAGGCGGUUUGUUAAGUCAGAUGUGAAAUCCCCGGGCUCAACCUGGGAACUGCAUCUGAUACUGGCAAGCUUGAGUCUCGUAGAGGGGGGUAGAAUUCCAGGUGUAGCGGUGAAAUGCGUAGAGAUCUGGAGGAAUACCGGUGGCGAAGGCGGCCCCCUGGACGAAGACUGACGCUCAGGUGCGAAAGCGUGGGGAGCAAACAGGAUUAGAUACCCUGGUAGUCCACGCCGUAAACGAUGUCGACUUGGAGGUUGUGCCCUUGAGGCGUGGCUUCCGGAGCUAACGCGUUAAGUCGACCGCCUGGGGAGUACGGCCGCAAGGUUAAAACUCAAAUGAAUUGACGGGGGCCCGCACAAGCGGUGGAGCAUGUGGUUUAAUUCGAUGCAACGCGAAGAACCUUACCUGGUCUUGACAUCCACAGAACUUUCCAGAGAUGGAUUGGUGCCUUCGGGAACUGUGAGACAGGUGCUGCAUGGCUGUCGUCAGCUCGUGUUGUGAAAUGUUGGGUUAAGUCCCGCAACGAGCGCAACCCCUGUCCUUAGUUGCCAGCAUGUAGAGAUGGGAACUCUAAGGAGACUGCCGUAGAUAAUACGGAGGAAGGUGGGGAUGACGUCAAAUCAUCAUGCCCUUUAUGUCUUGGGCUACACACGUACUACAAUGGAUGUUACAAAGGGAAGCGAAGUAGUGAUAUGGAGCGAAACCCAAAAAGCAUCCCCAGUUCGGAUUGUAGGCUGAAAUUCGCCUACAUGAAGCCGGAAUUGCUAGUAAUGGCAGGUCAGCAUACUGCCGUGAAUACGUUCCCGGGCCUUGUACACACCGCCCGUCACACCAUGAGAGUUGGGGAUACCCGAAGCCUGUGAGCCAACAGUUAAAUGAGGCAGCAGUCGAAGGUAGAAUCAAUGAUUGGGGUG